GUCGAGAAUCAUUCACAAUGGGGGAAACCCUGAUGGUGUGACGCCGCGUGGAGGAUGAAGGUCUUCGGAUUGUAAACUCCUGUCAUGUGGGAGUAAAGCCGGGUGUUAAAUGCAUGCCGGUCUGAGAGUACCACAAGAGGAAGGGACGGCUAACUCUGUGCCAGCAGCCGCGGUAAUACAGAGGUCCCAAGCGUUGUUCGGAAUCACUGGGCGUAAAGGGUGCGUAGGCGGCGCGGAAAGUCAGGGGUGAAAUCCCGGAGCUCAACUCCGGAACUGCCUUUGAUACUCCCGCGCUUGAGAACUGGAGGGGAGACCGGAAUUCACGGUGGAGCAGUGAAAUGCGUGGAUAUCGUGAGGAACACUAGUGGCGAAGGCGGGUCUCUGGACAACAUCUGACGCUGAGGCUCGAAGGCCAGGGGAGCAAAAGGGAUUAGAUACCCCAGUAGUCC
rnacentral:rRNA from 1 species